UUCGGUAACUGAGCUAGCGGCGGACGGGUGAGUAAUGCUUAGGAAUCUGCCUAUUAGUGGGGGACAACAUUCCGAAAGGAAUGCUAAUACCGCAUACGCCCUACGGGGGAAAGCAGGGGAUCUUCGGACCUUGCGCUAAUAGAUGAGCCUAAGUCAGAUUAGCUAGUUGGUGGGGUAAAGGCCUACCAAGGCGACGAUCUGUAGCGGGUCUGAGAGGAUGAUCCGCCACACUGGGACUGAGACACGGCCCAGACUCCUACGGGAGGCAGCAGUGGGGAAUAUUGGACAAUGGGCGCAAGCCUGAUCCAGCCAUGCCGCGUGUGUGAAGAAGGCCUUUUGGUUGUAAAGCACUUUAAGCGAGGAGGAGGCUACUUGGAUUAAUACUCUAGGAUAGUGGACGUUACUCGCAGAAUAAGCACCGGCUAACUCUGUGCCAGCAGCCGCGGUAAUACAGAGGGUGCGAGCGUUAAUCGGAUUUACUGGGCGUAAAGCGUGCGUAGGCGGCUUUUUAAGUCGGAUGUGAAAUCCCUGAGCUUAACUUAGGAAUUGCAUUCGAUACUGGGAAGCUAGAGUAUGGGAGAGGAUGGUAGAAUUCCAGGUGUAGCGGUGAAAUGCGUAGAGAUCUGGAGGAAUACCGAUGGCGAAGGCAGCCAUCUGGCCUAAUACUGACGCUGAGGUAC
rnacentral:rRNA from 1 species